rnacentral:rRNA from 1 species
CAGUCGCCGCGGUAAUACGUAGGGUGCGAGCGUUAAUCGGAAUUACUGGGCGUAAAGCGUGCGCAGGCGGUUGUGUAAGACAGGUGUGAAAUCCCCGGGCUUAACCUGGGAACUGCGCUUGUGACUGCACAGCUAGAGUAUGGCAGAGGGGGGUGGAAUUCCACGUGUAGCAGUGAAAUGCGUAGAGAUGUGGAGGAACACCGAUGGCGAAGGCAGCCCCCUGGGCCAAUACUGACGCUCAUGCACGAAAGCGUGGGGAGCAAACAGGAUUAGAUACCCAGUAGUCCCUGUCUCUUAUACA